rnacentral:rRNA from 1 species
UACGAAGGGGGCUAGCGUUGCUCGGAAUCACUGGGCGUAAAGGGCGCGUAGGCGGCCUGAUCAGUCGGGGGUGAAAGCCUGUGGCUCAACCACAGAAUGGCCUUCGAUACUGUCGGGCUUGAGACCGGAAGAGGUAAGUGGAACUGCGGGUGUAGAGGUGAAAUUCGUAGAUAUUCGCAAGAACACCAGUGGCGAAGGCGGCUUACUGGUCCGGAUCUGACGCUGAGGCGCGAAAGCGUGGGGAACAAACAGG